rnacentral:rRNA from 1 species
CGUGAAGCCCCCUCCAAGAUGAGACUUCCCACAGCGUCAAGCUGGUAAGACCCCUCAAAGACGAUGAGGUUGAUAGGUUCGGUGUGGAAGCGCGGCAACGCGUGGAGCUGACGAAUACUAAUCGGUCGAGGACUUAUCCAC